rnacentral:tRNA from 1 species
GACUGGGUAAGCAAGAGGAUACGCUAAGGAAUUUUAAAUUCCCGAGUAUGUGGGUUCGAGUCCCACCCUAGUCG